AUCAGCUCCGCUGCGGGGGGAUCCCUCAUACCACAGUUCAUGGCUGAACUGGCUUUAUUAUAUUUAUGGAUGAAGGUUGUAACAGUUUAGGACCAUUAGAGCCCACUAAAUAUGUGGGGACAAUUAUUUGGGUCUGGAGCUCAAAACGUUAAGAGUGUUUAUCAACAUCCACUUAUUUGGCGAAAAAGCUGCUAGUUCAUGACUCAUUUGAUUAUUUGGUGCCGAUAUAUAUCUUUU